rnacentral:rRNA from 1 species
GAUGAACGCUGGCGGCGUGCCUAAUACAUGCAAGUCGAGCGAACAGACGAGGAGCUUGCUCCUCUGACGUUAGCGGCGGACGGGUGAGUAACACGUGGAUAACCUACCUAUAAGACUGGGAUAACUUCGGGAAACCGGAGCUAAUACCGGAUAAUAUAUUGAACCGCAUGGUUCAAUAGUGAAAGACGGUCUUGCUGUCACUUAUAGAUGGAUCCGCGCUGCAUUAGCUAGUUGGUAAGGUAACGGCUUACCAAGGCAACGAUGCAUAGCCGACCUGAGAGGGUGAUAGGCCACACGGGAACUGAGACACGGUCCAGACGCCUACGGGAGGCAGCAGUAGGGAAUCUUCCGCAAUGGGCGAAAGCCUGACGGAGCAACGCCGCGUGAGUGAUGAAGGUCUUCGGAUCGUAAAACUCUGUUAUUAGGGAAGAACAUAUGUGUAAGUAACUGUGCACAUCUUGACGGUACCUAAUCAGAAAGCAACGGCUAACUACGUG